rnacentral:rRNA from 1 species
GUGUGCAGUCAGAGGUAGAGUGCUAAGGUUCUGCCUCGAAAGGGAAACAGCCCAACCCGUGUGGUAAGGUCCCCAAACCCUAUGUGAGUGGGAAAAGCUACCUUCCGACGAUGACAACGAGCAGGUUGGCUUGGAAGCAGCCAUCCUUUAAAGAAAGCGUAAGAGCUCACUCGUCGAGUUGGAUGUAGUUGAUGAUGUAUCGGGGCUGAACAUAGGUACCGACCCAACGGAUGGAUACAGGUUCAAUACAGCCUGUGUCUAUGGUAGCGAAGCGUUUUGAGUACUGCUGAAGUGAGGGCGGAAGCUUUCAUGUAGGGUUCAAAAGUGACUAUGCUGGCAUGAGUAACGAAAGAUCAUGUAGAUAAGGCAUGACCGCCGUACGUUCAAGGUUUUCUUGCGUUCUGGUAACCAGCGCAGAGUUAUUCGGCCCCUAAGGGC